rnacentral:rRNA from 1 species
AUGUCGACCGAGGACGAGAAGCUCCUCAAGGAGGCGAAGAAGCUGCCGUGGGACGAGCGGCUGCAGCACAAGAACUGGAAGGUGCGGAACGACGCCAACAUCGACCUCGCCGCGCUCUGCGACUCCAUCACCGACCCCAAGGACGCCCGCCUCCGCGAGUUUGGACCAUUAUUUAAGAAGGCGGUUUCGGAUUCGAACGCGCCCGUGCAGGAGAAGGCGCUGGAUGCGCUGCUAGCUUUCCAGCGAGCCGCUGAUGCUGAUGUAUCCAGGUAUGCCAAGGAGGUGUGUGAUGCGAUAUGUGCCAAGUGCCUCACUGGUAGGCCUAAGACUGUUGAGAAGGCUCAAGCUGCAUUUCUCCUUUGGGUGGAGCUGGAGGCGUCAGAGGUCUUCCUUGAAUCUAUGGAGAAGGCUGUAAAGAAUAAAGUGGCUAAAGCUGUUGUUCCUGCUAUUGAUGUCAUGUUUCAAGCACUCAGUGAAUUUGGAGCUAAGGUUGUACCACCUAAAAAAAUUCUGAAGAUGCUUCCUGAGCUAUUUGAUCAUCCAGACCAGAAUGUUCGAGCUUCUUCUAAAGGCUUGACGCUUGAGCUUUGUCGAUGGAUUGGCAAAGAGCCUGUAAAGUCAAUCUUAUUUGAGAAGAUGAGGGAUACAAUGAAAAAAGAGUUGGAAGCAGAGCUAGCAAAUGUCUCAGGAAUUGCUAAGCCAACUCGCAAGAUAAGAUCUGAACAAGAAAAGGAGCUUGAGGAGGAAGCUGUGCCAGAGACAACAGGCGCCAGUACUUCUGAAGUUGCAGUGCCAGAUGCCCCUAUGGAGAUUGAUGAAUAUGAUCUUGUUGAUCCUGUGGAUAUUUUAACCCCACUUGAAAAGUCUGGAUUUUGGGAUGGUGUGAAAGCAACAAAAUGGUCGGAAAGAAGGGAUGCUGUUGCAGAGCUUACUAAGCUUGCUUCAACCAAAAAAAUCGCUCCUGGUGAUUUUAAUGAAGUUUCCCGAACACUUAAAAAGCUUGUUACAGAUGUUAAUUUGGCUGUUGCAGUGGAAGCUACCCAAGCAAUAGGGAAUUUAGCUAAAGGUUUAAGAACUCAUUUUUCAGGAAAUUCACGGAAUCUGCUUCCUGUUUUACUUGAAAAACUGAAAGAGAAAAAGCCAACUAUGUCGGAAGCACUGACUCAAACACUCGAAGCAAUGCAUAAGUCUGGUUGUAUUGCUCUUCUUGAUGUGAUUGAAGAUGUUCGGGUCGCUGUAAAAAACAAGGUCCCUCUUGUUCGAUCCUUAACGUUGAACUGGGUUGCAUUUUGCAUUGAAACGAGCAAUAAGGCAACUGUCCUAAAGUUGCACAAGGAGUAUGUUCCUAUCUGCAUGGAGUGCUUGAAUGAUAGCACCCCAGAUGUUCGAGAUUCUUCGUUCUCUGUUUUGACUGCCAUAGCUAAGAUGGUUGGAAUGAAACCCUUGGAACGGUCCCUGGAGAAGUUAGAUGACGUGAGGAAAAAGAAACUUUCAGAUAUGAUUGGCUCUGCCACUGAUACUGUUUUAAGUUCAGGGACAGUACCUACUUCAAGUUCAGGAGCUGCCACAUCUGCUCGGGAGGUUACAGAUAGCUCAACAAUGAGGAGAUCUGCUGCAAGCAUGCUUAGUGGAAAGAAGCCUAUCCAUGCAGCGGCCCCGGCUAAGAAAUCUGGACCAGCAAAAUCAACUGCAAAAAAGACAGAUGGCGGACCACAGUCAAAGGCUUCUGCUGCUCCUGAGAUUGAAGAUGUUGAGCCUUCAGAGAUGAGUUUGGAAGAAAUAGAGGAGAGAUUAAAUUCUGUUGUGAAAACAGAGACAAUUUCACAGUUAAAGAGCACUGUUUGGAAAGAGCGUCUUGAAGCCAUUGGCAUGCUAAAGCAGGAUGUCGAAAAUCUCACAGAACUUGACAAAUCUGCUGAACUCUUGGUCCGUUUAUUAUGUGCUGUGCCUGGAUGGAAUGAAAAAAAUGUGCAGGUUCAACAACAAGUUAUAGAGGUCAUCACCUACAUUGCCUCAACUGUGAAGAAGUUCCCAAAGCGAUGUGUCGUUCUAUGCCUUCUUGGCAUAAGUGAAAGGGUUGCUGAUAUAAAAACCCGAGCGCCUGCAAUGAAAUGUCUUACCGCUUUUUGCGAGGCAGUAGGGCCAGGGUUUGUGUUUGAGAGGUUAUACAAAAUAAUGAAAGAGCACAAGAAUCCGAAGGUUCUUAGUGAGGGCAUUCUUUGGAUGGUAUCUGCCGUUGAAGACUUUGGGACUUCGAAUUUAAAACUAAAGGACAUAAUUGAUUUUUGUAAAGACACGGGUCUGCAAUCUAGCGCUGCUGCAACCAGAAAUUCUACUAUCAAACUGAUCGGGAUGCUGCAUAAGUUUGUAGGGCCAGAUAUAAAGGGUUUCUUAAGUGAUGUCAAACCGGCACUUCUCAGUGCUCUCGAUGCUGAAUAUGAAAAGAAUCCAUUUGAGGGUGCUGCUGCUCCUCCGAAAAGAACAGUUAGAGCUUUGGACACUGCAUCGUCUACGUCUGCUGCCUCAUCAGAUGGCCUGCCGAGAGAAGACAUAAGUUCUAAGAUAACGCCUGCUUUACUGAAAAAUUUGGGGAGCCCAGACUGGAAGUUAAGGCUGGAGUCCAUAGAAGCAGUCAACAAAAUUGUGGAGGAGGCCCAUAAGCGCAUUCAGCCAACAGGAACAGUGGACCUGUUCACGGCGCUAAGAGGCCGUCUUAAUGACAGUAACAAAAACUUAGUUAUGGCGACCUUGUCAUCGAUUGGUGUUCUUGCAUCUGCUAUGGGCCCUUCUGUUGAAAAAUCAAGCAAGGGUAUCUUGGCAGAUGUGCUGAAGUGUAUUGGUGACAAUAAGAAGCACAUGCGAGAGUGCACUUUGACUGCUCUCGAUUCCUGGGUUGCUGCUACUCAACUUGAUAAGAUGGUUCCAUAUAUUGCAGUAGCUUUGGGUGAUCAGAAAAGUGGUUCAGAAGGGCGAAAAGAUCUCUUCGAUUGGUUGUCUAAGCAUGUCUCGAAAAUGAGUGAUCCAGCUGAGGCUUUGCCUUUACUGAAGCCGUCUGCAUCUUCUUUGAUGGAUAAAUCAUCUGAAGUCCGUAAAGCCGCUGAGACUUUUAUGAAUGAAGUUCUCAAGAUUUGUGGCCAAGCAGCGGUUGCAAAGAACUUGAGAGAUCUGCCAUCCCCUACUAUGGCCAUUGUAGCAGAGAGGUUGAAACUGUCCAGUGUGCAUGAAGGAAUAUCUGAUUCUGUAAAGACGGUGACAACAAGUAUGAGUUUGCCAUCAAAAGGUGGUUUGAAGAAUAUCAAACCUGGCCUAAAUGAUCGCUCCUCAAAUGUUGGCAAAGCUGCAUCUCAAAGAGGAGUUCCAGCAAGGGCCUCUGUUACUAUGAUCUCUUCUCAAGACUCGUUACAGUCUCAGGCAUUAUUUAACAUUAAGGACUCAAACAAGGAAGAUCGCGAGCGACGGGUUUUGGUACGUAAAUUCAAGUUUGAAGAACCACGUCGUGAGCAAAUAGACGAACUGAAGGUUGAUUUAUUUAAGCAUUUCCGAGAGGAUGUUAGCUUGCGGUUAUGGAACUCAGACUUUAAGAGGCAAAUAGAUGGUAUUGAGUUACUACAAAAGGCACUUCCUUCAAGUGGCAAAGAAGUGGUUGAGCUUCUCGAUAUACUACUAAGAUGGUUUGUCCUGCGCUUCUGUGAAUCCAACACGACAUGUUUGUUGAAGGUUCUUGACUUUCUUCCUGAGCUAUUUGAUGGUCUGAAAGAUCAAUCUUACAUGUUAACGGAAGCAGAAGCUGCAAUCUUCCUGCCUUGCCUUAUAGAGAAGUCUGGUCACAACAUUGAAAAAGUCAGAGAGAAAAUGGGGGAGCUGAUAAAGCAAAUGAUCAACAUCUAUUCUCUUCCAAAGCUGCUUCCCUAUAUAUUGGAGGGGCUGCGCUCCAAGAACAACCGAACUAGGAUAGAGUGUGUUGACAUUAUUGGAUACUUCAUGGAUCAUAACGGGACCGAGGUUGGUGGCUUGUUGAAAAAUUUGCCAUCUGUCGCGGCAUUAACAGCAGAGCGGGAUGGAGAAAUCAGAAAAGCCGCUCUUAAUACGCUUGCCACUGCUUACAAGAACCUUGGGGAUGAUGUAUGGCGAUAUGUUGGAAAACUUUCAGAUGCCCAACGAAGUAUGCUCGAUGAUAGGUUUAAGUGGAAGGCUCGAGAAAUGGAUAAGAGGAGAGAAGGAAGGCCUGGUGAUGCCCGAGCAGCAUUGAGGCGUUCAGUCAGAGAAAACGGAUCUGAUGUAGCAGAACAGAGUGGGGAAUUGGUUUCUCGUUCAAUGGCAGGAUCAAUGAUGUCAAGGGAAAACUUCGGGUAUGCCGAUGCCCAUACGGUACCUAGGCAGAUGGCAGCAGCAGUGACUGGUCCCGCAGACUGGCGUGAAGCUCUUGAUAUUGUUGCAUUAGGUUUGCCUGAACAGUCUGUUGAAGGAAUGAAAGUCAUAUGCCACGAGCUAACUCAGGCGGUUGAUCCUGAAAGCUCUGCGCUUGAUGAUCUCAUUAAGGAAGCAGACAGAUUAGUUUCAUGCUUGUCUGUUAUGGUUCCAAAAACAUUUAAUUUCAGCCUAUCUGGGGCAUCUUCAAGGUCUUGCAAAUACGUUUUAAAUACUCUCAUGCAGACUUUCCAGAUCAAACGUCUCGCUCACGCAGUGAAGGAGGGUACACUAGAUAACCUUAUCACAGAGCUACUACUAUGGCUUUUAGAUGAGCGGGUUCCUCUUAUGGAUGAUGGCAGUCAACUACUUAAGGCUCUUAAUGUCUUAAUGCUUAAAAUCUUGGAUAACGCCGAGAGAACUUCCUCAUUCGUUGUACUAAUCAAUUUGCUGAGGCCCUUGGACCCUUCAAGAUGGCCAUCCCCUACUCCGUCAGAGUCCCUUGCUGUAAAGAAUCAGAAGUUUUCAGAUUUAGUUGUCAAAUGCUUAAUUAAGUUGACAAAGGUUCUUCAGAGUACAAUAUAUGAGGUUGACCUUGACCGCAUUCUUCAAAGUGUUCAUAUUUAUUUACAAGAACUUGGAAUGGAAGAGAUACGGAGGAGGGCUGGAGCUGAUGACAAGCCAUUAAGAAUGGUCAAAACUGUGCUGCAUGAACUUGUAAAGCUACGAGGCACAGCAAUAAAAGGUCACCUUUCAAUGGUUCCUAUAGACGCUGAGCCUCAGCCAAUCAUCCUGGCAUACAUUGAUCUUAAUCUUCAGACCCUUGCAGCAGCUAGGAUGUUAACCCCAUCUGGACCUAUGGGUCAAACUCACUGGGGUGAUGCAGCAUCAAACACUCCAAAUCCAUCAAUUCAUUCAACGGAUGCACAAUUGAAGCAAGAGCUCGCUGCAGUAUUCAAGAAAAUCGGUGACAAACAAACAUGUACGAUUGGUUUGUAUGAACUCUACCGGAUAACCCAGCUGUACCCAAAGGUUGAUAUAUUCGCUCAGCUUCAGAAUGCAAGUGAAGCAUUUAGAACGUACAUCAGAGAUGGGCUAGCUCAGGUGGAGAAGAAUGCUGCAGCUGGCAGAACACCCUCUAGUCUUCCAUUAUCAACUCCACCUCCAAUAGCAUCAAUACCCUCUCCAAAGUUUGCACCUUCUCCUGUUCAUACAAAAUCGAUAAGUAGCAAAACGGAUUGUAAUGAAGACGACGCCUUCAGAGUCCAAGGAGACUCUGAUUUGAGGUUACAAUCAGAUCAACAGACAGAUAGAUUCCAAUCCUCAGGGACAUUGGAUGCUCUCAGGGAAAGGAUGAAGAGCAUCCAAGCCGCAGCUGUGGGGGGCAAUUUCGAUGUAGCUCAGACUCGGCCACUGUCAAGUAUGAAUGGCAAUGCGCUCCAUGGGGGGGCGCGAGUGGAUGCUGCAGAAGAGCCUGGGCACGGAAUUGAAUUAUCGCUACUGGUGGCUAUUUUUUCUGUUGAGUCCUUUGUAGUAACAUCUGCCCAUGCAUCAAAUGAGCACAAUCUUAAUAGAUGGUUAGUAGGGCAGAUAAAGACCCUAAAUUGGAAAUAG